UUGCAGCAAAAAUUAAUGAUGGGAAUUGAGGAUGGUAAGGUUAAUUGUGAGUCAUGGAAAGUCAUCUUUUUUAGCCCUGAAAGCUAUAUGUAGUCAUCUAUUCACAACUCAUGCAUUUUCUUUGUCAUGCAUGUUAUUACAUCUGAGGAAACAAAGGUCCUAGUCAUGUUGCAAGAGAGUUUGGGUAGUUUCACAACUGAAGGAUUUCUUUUAACAUUUGUACACCAGAAAACAGAAACCAGGCAUUGGGUCAUGUAUGCAGGCCAUGGUUUCGCAGACAUUUACCCUUAUGCCCAAAUUUCAAUUGGAACCUGAUUUCCCUUGACUUCCAGGAAACAUCAGGGUGUUCUAAAAUUAACUCUGCUACUUUGAGGUGACAGCAGCACUGCAUGUUUGCAUGACUUGAUAAACAACUGUGUGUGCACAAGAAGUAUUUUGUUGACUGUGUUAAGCCUGGUGAGGUCACAAAUCUGUGCUGAUCCAUUCACCAAUGGAGAAAGAAAGUUUUCAGUGAUGCUGCUGGACUAAAUCACCAAGUGCUGGCAGGCUGCCAGGGUUGUGUUGCUGGGCAGAUCAUCAGGUGGUGGCCGGUCACUGAGAGCUGCUCAUGCAGCAAAAAUGUACAGGACAGCAGACUCACCCUUCCUUCCUUCCUUCCUUCUCCAAUGUCAAGGAAGGAAGGACUGUCUCCUUGAUGACCCUGAUUAGAGCUGAUGGACAGCAUGGGGCUUCCAUAAAAUAAAUUAUUUGAUGGCUAGCUUCUUCAGCUAAUGGAUGACACAGAAUAUUGCCUGAAUCUAUUAUGUAUCUAUGAACACCAAAUUCCUAGAUUUCAAGACCAUCCCAAUUGCUGGAAGUCAUCUUAAGAGGAAUGCCUUGUGGAGCUUCAGCACUCGGCUCUUACUCUGUCAUCACAGCCUUGCAGAGAAGGGUGGAUGGCUGCGUCUGGGAGUCCAUCUAAGUAAGAGGCUGGUUCACCUUGAACACUGGUGUGAAGCAAGGCUACAUUUGAUUUCUGGGGCUGCUUAGCAUUAUCCUACAUAGCUACUGUGUAGGCAUCACAAGCAGCAGCAUUCCGUGGGGUGGAUUGCACAUCUCUUGGA